CCCAGGUAUAAGAAAUCAGCGGCUGAGCUUGUAAAGGAACCACAGCUUUCAAACUCUGACACGAACGCUCCAUCAACUCACCAGGUUGCCUCACUUACUACCUAAGAGAAAUCAUCAGGGAGGCUUCCCACACGCCUCUCCGCAGCGAGUCCCAGGGUCUGAGGUGAGGCUGCCUCCUGAAGAAGGCAGUAAUGUCAUGCUGAGGAGGGAAGAAGACGGGGUCUUCAAUUGCGCCGCCUGGGCUGGUGCUCCAGCUCUGCUGUUUGCUAGCCGUGUGGCUUGGGACAAAUUACUGAAAUUCUUUCUCUCUCAGGUUCCUAAUCUGUAAAAAGGGAGAUAAUACUCAUGCCCAACUCCUAGUUUUGCGAAUAUCAAAGAAAUGGAAAGUGCUUUGCUCACUGCCUGGAAAAAAAGAGCUUAACAUGUCUAUACAUUUUCUCAUUUUGUUUUGAAGCUCACAUUGUUUGCUUCUUAAUUUCUUUAGCAUAAAACCACCUAGAAUAAAACACGGAGAUUCUUAUGAAAGGCAAAAGUAGACACUUUUGUUUGAGGAAGAUUGGCCCUGAGCCAACAUCCGUGCCACUUCUUUUAUUUUGUAUGUUACUGAGCGGUGUGUAAGUCCGGGCCCGGGAUCCAAACCCGCAAACCCCAGUUGGUGGAAGACGAGCACUGGAAUUUAACCACUAUGCCAUGGGGCCUGCCCAAAAGUGAACACUUCUGAGUGUGAUUAGAUACACCAGAGAAGAUGUAGGUAAUCCUAAUGAGCAUCAUCAAAUGGCUAACCACAUUUGUUUUUCCAAAAACUUAGAAAUUCAAAAUUAAGGAAUGAGACUAGAAUAAAGCUGAAACUUACAAGGAAUUGCUGUGAAGCCCGGUUCCCCAUAGUAACCAGGUAGCCAGGAGCUCUUCAGGAGAAGGAACCAGACUAAGGCAAUGUGUCUUUGUUACAGUUAGUUCCAUCACUGCCAUUACCACCAGCAUGUUUUUUUAAAACAGAGAAUUUUAAAAAAAGACUCAAUUCUGUUAAAAAUUGG
rnacentral:lncRNA from 1 species